AACGAACGCUGGCGGCAGGCUUAACACAUGCAAGUCGAACGCCCCGCAAGGGGAGUGGCAGACGGGUGAGUAACACGUGGGAACAUGCCCAAAGGUACGGAAUAUUCUCGGGAAACUGAGAGCAAUACCGUAUGUGCCCGAAAGGGGAAAGAUUUAUCGCCUUUGGAUUGGCCCGCGUCGGAUUAGCUAGUUGGUGGGGUAAAAGCCUACCAAGGCGACGAUCCGUAGCUGGUCUGAGAGGACGACCAGCCACACUGGGACUGAGACACGGCCCAGACUCCUACGGGAGGCAGCAGUGGGGAAUCUUGGACAAUGGGCGCAAGCCUGAUCCAGCCACGCCGCGUGGAUGAUGAAGGCCCUAGGGUUGCAAAAUCCUUUCGUUGGGGACGAUAAUGACGGUACCCAAAGAAGAAGCUCCGGCUAACUUCGUG
rnacentral:rRNA from 1 species